rnacentral:rRNA from 1 species
AUUGAACGCUGGCGGCAUGCCUUACACAUGCAAGUCGAACGGCAGCACGGGAGCAAUCCUGGUGGCGAGCGGCGAACGGGUGAGUAAUGUAUCGGAACGUGCCCAGUCGUGGGGGAUAACGCAGCGAAAGCUGUGCUAAUACCGCAUACGAUCUAUGGAUGAAAGCGAGGGAUCGCAAGACCUCGCGCGAUUUGAGCGGCCGAUAUCAGAUUAGGUAGUUGGUGGGGUAAAGGCCCACCAAGCCGACGAUCUGUAGCUGGUCUGAGAGGACGACCAGCCACACUGGAACUGAGACACGGUCCAGACUCCUACGGGAGGCAGCAGUGGGGAAUUCUGGACAAUGGGCGCAAGCCUGAUCCAGCAAUGCCGCGUGCAGGAUGAAGGCCUUCGGGUUGUAAACUGCUUUUGUACGGAACGAAACGGCUCUCUCUAAUACAGGGGGCUAAUGACGGUACCGUAAGAAUAAGCACCGGCUAACUACGUGCCAGCAGCCGCCGUAA